CCGGGCUUUCAAUAAGUGUGCGUUGACGGUUUUAUUAGAGCGAGUAAAAUGGAUUUGGACAAUAUUAAAUUUGAGCUUAAGGAAGGAAGCCGUGCAGGUUUCUCUCAAUUAUUAUAUACUCCAAGUGACCAACAAAUUUACAUAAAAAAUAAACAAUUAAAAUCGAAUGAUAUUGCAUAUGUGUGUCGUUCAAAGGAUUGCAGAGCACGGGUUUAUUUAAGUGCAGAUAGGUCUCGAGUCUUUUCCAAUCCUGAAAAAAUUAAACAUAUUCAUGGACCACAAGGCAAUGAAAUGGAAAAAAUGGAAGUGCUGUCGCAAAUACAAUUGAAGUGUCAAACCAAUUCCGACACCAAAAAAAUAUUUAAUGAUGUUCUCGCGAGAAAAACAAAUGGAGAAGAGGAAAUAGAAAUAAGUUAUGAUACGGUGAAACGCACUCUACAGCGAAAACACAACCUUUUCUUCCAAAAUCUCCAAUUACUCCCAAGGAGCAUAAAGUUCCUAUGUUAUAUGAAUAUGUAUAUGUUUUUUUCACUGUAAUGACGUUCACACAAAUUCGGUCAGAAAAUUGUUCAUAUGUAUAAUAUAUAAGUUGAACUGAUUUAUGUAAAAAUUAUUAAAAAUAAUACAUAUACUUAAUAAAGACUUGUGGGAAACUGCGUUUUUUAAGGGA